rnacentral:rRNA from 1 species
ACCCGCUGAACUUAAGCAUAUUACUAAGCGGAGGAAAAGAAACCAACGGGGAUUCCCAUAGUAACUGCGAGUGAAAUGGGAAGAGCCCAGCGCUGAAUCCGAGGGUCGGCAACGGUCCUUGGAGUUGUAGCGUGAAGGUGGUUCUAAUUCGUGCGGCUGGCUAGCGUAAGUUCUCCUGAGUGAGACUCCAUGCCAUGGAGGGUGCAAGCCCCGUAUCGUUGGCAGCCUGUGCGAAUAUAAGACUACCAGAGAGUCGCCUUGUUUGCGAGUACAAGGUGAAGUCGGUGGUAAACGCCAUCGAAGGCUAAAUAUGACCACGAGUCCGAUAGCGAACAAGUACAGUGAUGGAAAAUUGAAAAGCACUUUGAAGAGAGAGUGAAACAGUGCGUGAAACCGCUCAGAGGCAAGCAGUUGGGGCCUCGAAGGCAGAGCAGUGAAUUCAGUCGACAGUCCGUGAGACUGGCGGGUGUGAGAUUGCAAAACUCUGCCCGUUAGUAAGUAGCGGCUGUUGAUGCACUUUUGCUGCUCGUACGCCUCCGCCGUUGAGUGUGUGCGUCCGUUCGGUUUGCGCUGUGGAGCC